GCGCAGCAGGCGAGAAAACUUCACAAUGUGCGAAAGCACGAUGAGGGAAUCCCAAGUGCUUGCACGUAAGUGUAAGCUGUUUCUCUGUCUAAAACGCAGAGAGAGUAAGGGCUGGGUAAGACGGGUGCCAGCCGCCGCGGUAAUACCUGCAGCUCGAGUGGUGACCGUUAUUAUUGGGCCUAAAACGUCCGUAGCCGGUUUAAUAAAUGCCUGGGUAAAUCGGACCGCUUAACGGUUCGAAUUCCGGGUAGACUGUUAAACUUGAGACCGGGAGAAGUUAGAGGUACUCCUGGGGUAGAGGUGAAAUUCUGUAAUCCUAGGGGGACCACCAGUGGCGAAGGCGUCUAAACUAGAACGGGUCCGACGGUGAGGGACGAAGCCCCUGGGGCGCAAACGGGAUUAGAUA
rnacentral:rRNA from 1 species